UACGUAGGUGACAAGCGUUGUCCGGAUUUACUGGGCGUAAAGAGCGCGCAGGCGGUCGUGCAAGUCGCGUGUGAAAGCCCCCGGCUCAACUGGGGAGGGUCACGCGAUACUGCUCGACUCGAAGGCAGGAGAGGGAAGUGGAAUUCCCGGUGUAGUGGUGAAAUGCGUAGAUAUCGGGAGGAACACCAGUGGCGAAGGCGACUUCCUGGCCUGUUCUUGACGCUGAGGCGCGAAAGCUAGGGGAGCAAACGGGG
rnacentral:rRNA from 1 species